CUUACCGGGUCCGGACACACUGAGGAUUGACAGGUGUUAUCCCACAUAAUCAGUGGGUGUUAAAUAUGCUAGUCCUUUCAUGAUUAUGUGAUAGGUGGUGCAUGGCCGUUCUUAGUUUGUGGAGUGAUCUGUCUGCUUAAUUGCGUUUCACUGAAGGCUCAUAUUAUAUGCACGGCAUUCUUUGACCCCUCAUUAAUAAUGAGCGUUGUGUCUUAGUCUUUUGCUUAGCAUCUGGGCCUUGGAAGCAACGAACGUGACCGCAACCUCUUGUUGCCUCUCAUAACCAUAUAAAAGAGGCCUAUUUAAAUAAACUAGAGGGACCGCUGUUACUUUCUUAAACCAGAGGAAGGUUGCGGCAAUAACAGGUCUGUGAUGCCCUUAGAUGUUCCGGGCUGCACACGUGCUACAAUGAUUAUUGCAGUGAGCAUCUCAUACACAUACACACCGCAUGCGCGAGUCCACUUUUUCACGAAGGUGUGUGUCUCUGCGCGCGGUAAAGCCUGCUUCGAAAGUAAGUGGGUAAUCAAUUAGAAGUAAUGAUUUCCAUACAGCACACAUAUAUACGGCAUCUUUACCCGGCCUGCCUUGUUGCAGGUUUCUUGUGUGUAUUGAUGUUUUUUCCGUAUGUGCGAUUGUCAAUUCAUGGUGGGGACAGACCAUUGUUAAUUGUUGGUCUCGGUCUUAACUAGGAAUGCCUUGUACGGUCUUUGGUUCAACAAACCACCCGGAAUACGUCCCUGCCCUUUGUACACACCGCCCGUCGCUCUUACCGAUGGACUUCUCUGUGAGUUUGAGGGACUGGGAACGCAUAUCUCUAUAUGCACACCUAUGGAAACUUAAACGAACAGUGUGGUCUAAAGGAAAGAGAAGUCGUAACAAGGCAUCGGUAGGUGAACC
rnacentral:rRNA from 1 species